rnacentral:rRNA from 1 species
CGCAGCCGCGGUAAUUCCAGCUCCAAUAGCGUAUAUUAAAGUUGUUGCAGUUAAAAAGCUCGUAGUUGAAUUUCGGGAUCAGAUUGUCGGUCGUGCCUCGGUACGUACUGGUAUUAUUGGUUUCUACCUUCUGAAGAACCUUGAUGUCAUUAAGUUGGUGUCUUGGGGAAUCAGGACUGUUACUUUGAAAAAAUUAGAGUGUUUAAAGCAGGCUCACGCUUGAAUACAUUAGCAUGGAAUAAUGAAAUAGGACGUUUGAUUCUAUUUUGUUGGUUUCUAGGAUCGACGUAAUGAUUAAUAGGGAUAGUUGGGGGCAUUAGUAUUCAGUUGUCAGAGGUGAAAUUCUUGGAUUUAUUGAAGACUGACUACUGCGAAAGCAUUUGCCAAGGAUGUUUUCAUUAAUCAAGAACGAAAGUUAGGGGAUCGAAGACGAUCAGAUACCGUCGUAGUCUUAACCAUAAACUAUGCCGACUAGGGAUCGGAUGAUGUAAUUUUUAAUGACUCAUUCGCGCCUUACGGG